rnacentral:rRNA from 1 species
UACGAAGGGGGCUAGCGUUGUUCGGAAUCACUGGGCGUAAAGGGCGCGUAGGCGGUUUGGUAAGUUAGGAGUGAAAUGCCGGGGCUUAACCCCGGAACUGCUCUUAAAACUGCCAGACUAGAGUUCGGGAGAGGAUGGUGGAAUUCCUAGUGUAGAGGUGAAAUUCGUAGAUAUUAGGAGGAACACCGGUGGCGAAGGCGACCAUCUGGACCGAUACUGACGCUGAGGCGCGAAAGCGUGGGGAGCAAACAGG